CGGCUGACCAGGUCACGUCACGGUAUGAAUAAUGAAAGUGCCGGGCUGUAGUCUUUGCAUGCAACUCGAUGACCCGCUCAAGGUGUACACGGCAGCCACGUGUAAUGGUUCAUAAAAAAAAAAUCCAUCAAGGAUUUAACAUGAUCCCACCCCCACCGCCUCAUACCACCCCUCUUCCUCCGAACCAUUCAGUGUUAGUCGUGAAACAGAAACCCCUGCAAACUCCUCAGAGAAGAACACCAGAACGGUGCUUGGGCUUAUUGGAGGGACAUCAUACAGGCAUUUGAAAAGCCUUUUCAGCCAGGGCCUGGUGCAUGGAGAGGAACGUGGUGGUAUCUGUCAGGAGGCUGAUGUGUUGAUGUGUUAUGCAUUUUGAGCUGUAUGGGUUAUGGCCCUCUGAUGUGCUGGCUUCAUGUCUUUGUGGCACUGGAGCUGUGAAGGAUGAAAUGAGAUGGAGGAGAGGGUGGGGGGGGGGCACAAACA